rnacentral:lncRNA from 1 species
GAGCCUGGGACCGCGGCGUCUGCGUCCUGAAGGCGGAGGGAGGCUGCGCCCUGGGCUUCCCUCAGGGAGGAACAGGAGGCCUUGGGAGAAGAAGCGGCCUUUCCCUGCGCAGGUUCUUCACGGCUGAUGCUCGUGGUUGUUCUUGUGUGCAGUAUUUAUGACUUUUCCUUUUAAGUCCAUGUGUUCUAGAUGAGGCGUCCCGACUCCCACGCCUGCCCCGCAGUCCCAGAGCCAGCCGUGCGCAGGCUGCUUUCCCUGUGCUGUCUUUCAUGGUCUCCGCACAGGGAAGGCGCCGCCUAAAUGCAGAAAUCCUUUACAGCCCCUAGGCGGAGGCGCUGCCCACGCCCGCAGGCCAGGAGGACCCUGGGCCCCAAGGUGAGCAGGCCCGCAGGGAGCACUGGGCUUAGGGGAGCACAGAUCUAGGUCCCGCGAAGACAGCGCCUGUGCAGAAAGCGGUGGGCACCAUCCUGCUCCCUGCACGGUGGGGAAGGCCCGCCAAUUCAGCGUAAAACUCCAGAGGCAGGAGCACCCCAGGCUGAAAGCAAACCCCAGAAAGGCCGAGUUUCAAAUUGGAGGUAAUUAAUUCCUCGGGCCACGCGCUGAAGUUCAGCCGGACCUGCCCUGCUCUCCUGUUUCUUGCAGACCGCAUACCGUGGGCAGCAAGUGGAGCCAGGCCGUGCAGUUGCCUUGCACGGCUCCUUUGAUUACACUGCUGCUGUGGAUGGUCUGUCCGUGAACAUGCAUGGGGUGGGUCCAGCUCCUCUCAUCCCCAAGGAUCCUCUUCCCGCUUGCGUAGUGGCCUUGCUGGUGUUUUCUCCGUGCAGAAAGAGACCUCGGGCUGGCCCCGUGGAGGGAAUGCUGACAGCAGGUGGC